UACGGGGGGGGCAAGCGUUGUUCGGAAUUACUGGGCGUAAAGGGCUCGUAGGCGGCCAACUAAGUCGGACGUGAAAUCCCUCGGCUUAACCGAGGAACUGCGUCCGAUACUGGAUGGCUUGAGUUUGGGAGAGGGAUGCGGAAUUCCAGGUGUAGCGGUGAAAUGCGUAGAUAUCUGGAGGAACACCGGUGGCGAAGGCGGCAUCCUGGACCAACACUGACGCUGAGUGAGCGAAAGCCAGGGGAGCAAACGGG
rnacentral:rRNA from 1 species